GUGGGGAAUAUUGGACAAUGGGGGGAACCCUGAUCCAGCCAUGCCGCGUGUGUGAAGAAGGCCUUUUGGUUGUAAAGCACUUUAAGCGAGGAGGAGGCUACCGAGAUUAAUACUCUUGGAUAGUGGACGUUACUCGCAGAAUAAGCACCGGCUAACUCUGUGUCAGCAGCCGCGGUAAUACAGAGGGUGCAAGCGUUAAUCGGAUUUACUGGGCGUAAAGCGCGCGUAGGUGGCCAAUUAAGUCAAAUGUGAAAUCCCCGAGCUUAACUUGGGAAUUGCAUUCGAUACUGGUUGGCUAGAGUAUGGGAGAGGAUGGUAGAAUUCCAGGUGUAGCGGUGAAAUGCGUAGAGAUCUGGAGGAAUACCGAUGGCGAAGGCAGCCAUCUGGCCUAAUACUGACACUGAGGUGCGAAAGCAUGGGGAGCAAACAGGAUUAGAAACCCUGGUAGUCC
rnacentral:rRNA from 1 species